rnacentral:rRNA from 1 species
GGGGGGGGGGGGGGGGGGGGGUAGCGGGGGCGGGGCGGGCGGGGAGGCCCUGCUGGUGGGGGGUGCGCGAGUGGCGAACGGGUGAGUAACACGUGGGUAACCUGCCCUUGACUUUGGGAUAACUUCCGGCAACUGGGGCUAAUACCGGAUAGGAGCUCCCGCUCCAUGGUGGGGGUUGGAAAGUUUAGGCGGUUGGGGAUGGCCUCGCGGCUUAUCCGCUUGUUGGUGGGGUCGUGGCUUACCAAGGCUUCGACGGGUAGCCGGCCUGGUAGGGUGACCGGGCACAUUGGGACUGAGAUACGGCCCAGACUCCUACGGGAGGCAGCAGGGGGGAAUAUUGCACAAUGGGCGGAAGCCUGAUGCAGCAACGCCGCGUGCGGGAUGACGGCCUGCGGGUUGUAAACCGCUUUCGCCUGUGACGAAGCGUGAGUGACGGUAAUGGGUAAAGAAGCACCGGCUAACUACGUG